rnacentral:rRNA from 1 species
GGGUUGUGAGGUUAAGCGACUAAGCGUACACGGUGGAUGCCCUGGCAGUCAGAGGCGAUGAAGGACGUGCUAAUCUGCGAAAAGCGUCGGUAAGGUGAUAUGAACCGUUAUAGCCGGCGAUGUCCGAAUGGGGAAACCCAGUGCAAUUCGUUGCACUAUCGUUUGAUGAAUACAUAGUCAAACGAGGCGAACCGGGGGAACUGAAACAUCUAAGUACCCCGAGGAAAAGAAAUCAACCGAGAUUCCCCCAGUAGCGGCGAGCGAACGGGGAGCAGCCCGGAGUCUGAAUCAGCUUGUGUGUUAGUGGAAGCGUCUGGAAAGUCGCAGGGUACAGGGUGAUACUCCCGUACACUAAAGCACACAGGUUGUGAACUCGAAGAGUAGGGCGGGACACGUGGUAUCCUGUCUGAAUAUGGGGGGACCAUCCUCCAAGGCUAAAUACUCCUGACUGACCGAUAGUGAACCAGUACCGUGAGGGAAAGGCGAAAAGAAC